rnacentral:rRNA from 1 species
UACGAAGGGUGCAAGCGUUACUCGGAAUUACUGGGCGUAAAGCGUGCGUAGGCGGUUCGUUAAGUGCGUCGUGAAAGCCCCGGGCUCAACCUGGGAAUGGCGAUGGAAACUGGCGGGCUGGAGUAUGGCAGAGGGGGGUGGAAUUCCGCGUGUAGCAGUGAAAUGCGUAGAUAUGUGGAGGAACACCGAUGGCGAAGGCGGCAUCCUGGACCGGUAUUGACGCUGAUGCGGCGAAAGCCAGGGGAGCAAACGGG